rnacentral:lncRNA from 10 species
GAAAUCUGAAGCCAUGGAUGAUUGCCGUUCUCAUUGUGUUGUCCCUGACAGUGGUGGCAGUGACCAUAGGUCUCCUGGUUCACUUCCUAGUAUUUGACCAAAAAAAGGAGUACUAUCAUGGCUCCUUUAAAAUUUUAGAUCCACAAAUCAAUAACAAUUUCGGACAAAGCAACACAUAUCAACUUAAGGACUUACGAGAGACGACCGAAAAUUUGUUCUGGAGGCUGAAGAUUCCAAGAUGAAGAUGAUCAAGGCUCUAGCAGAUGUCUGGUGAGAGCCUGCUUCCUGGUUCAUAGAAUACCAUCUUGCUGUGUCCCUCAUGGCAGAAGCCAUAAGAGAACUUUCUUUUGUAAGGACACUAAUGACUUUCAUGAGAACUCCACCCUCAUGACCUAACUAUCCUCCAAAGGCCCCAUCUCCUCUAUCAUCGGUUUGGGAGUUAAGGUCUCAAAAUAUAAAUUUCAGGGGAACACAAACAUUCAGUCCACAGCACUUGGUAUUAUUUGGCUUUCUAAAUUUGCCACCCUAAUAUGUAUAAAGUAGUAUUUUAUUUGUGAUUUAAUUUGCAUGUUUCUAAUUACUAAUGAGUUUGUGCAUUGUUACGUAUAAUUAUUAACUUUUUGGACUUUCAUUUCUAUAAAUUGCCUGUACAUAUUAUUUGCCUAUUUUUCUGUUAAACUUGCUUUUUCACCUU